AUAACAAUACAGGACUCUUUCGAGGCUCUGUAAUUGGAAUGAGUACACUUUAAAUCCUUUAACGAGGAUCUACUGGAGGGCAAGUCUGGUGCAGAGCGACUGACCCGUGCGUGCUGCAGCUGAAACUCCACUAUCGCCUGCUGCUG
rnacentral:rRNA from 1 species